rnacentral:misc_RNA from 1 species
AGCAGCCGCGGUAAUUCCAGCUCCAAUAGCGUAUAUUAAAGUUGCUGCAGUUAAAAAGCUCGUAGUUGAAUUUCGGGACUAAUAUGUCGGUCGUGCCUCGGUACGUACUGGUUUAUUGGUUUCUCCUUUCUGAAGAACCAUGAUGUCAUUUAUUUGGUGUCGUGGGGAAUCAGGACUGUUACUUUGAAAAAAUUAGAGUGUUUAAAGCAGGCUCACGCUUGAAUACAUUAGCAUGGAAUAAUGAAAUAGGACGUUUGAUUCUAUUUUGUUGGUUUCUAGGAUCGACGUAAUGAUUAAUAGGGAUAGUUGGGGGCAUUAGUAUUCAAUUGUCAGAGGUGAAAUUCUUGGAUUUAUUGAAGACUAACUACUGCGAAAGCAUUUGCCAAGGAUGUUUUCAUUAAUCAAGAACGAAAGUUAGGGGAUCGAAGACGAUCAGAUACCGUCGUAGUCUUAACCAUAAACUAUGCCGACNAGGGAUCGGAUGA